rnacentral:rRNA from 1 species
CACGUAGGGCGCAAGCGUUGUCCGGAAUUAUUGGGCGUAAAGAGCACGUAGGUGGUUUGUUACGUCCGCUGUGAAAUCCUAGGGCUUAACCCUGGGCUUGCAGUGGAUACGGGCAGACUAGAGGUAGGUAGGGGAGAAUGGAAUUCCUGGUGUAGCGGUGAAAUGCGCAGAUAUCAGGAGGAACACCGGUGGCGAAGGCGGUUCUCUGGGCCUUACCUGACACUGAGGAGCGAAAGCGUGGGGAGCGAACAGG